rnacentral:tRNA from 1 species
GCGCGCGUAGCUCAGUGGUUAGAGCUCUGGUUUUACACACCAGCGGUCGGGGGUUCGAGUCCCUCCGCGCGCAC